AAAAAAAUUAAAGAAAAAAAAAAAGAAAAUUCACAACCAACAGAGAGAGAGAGAUGCUAGGCAGAACAGCAGUAGCCUCUUCCUCUGUUUCAGUGCCUGCUGUUUCUCCUACAAUCCCCAAAUUCUUGGGCCUUAAAACGCUCUCUUACAAUUCUUUUUCUACACCAAACACCAAAUGGAACUACAAUUUUAAGUUUAGUAGAAAGAAUAUUGCUGCUUCAAAAAUGGAGACCAGAGCAUCAGCUCAGCCUUUGAAGAAUGCUGAUGAGCUCAUUGACUCUGUCGAGACCUUCAUCUUUGAUUGUGAUGGUCAGAAUCCUUUUUUUCCUAAUCCUUGUUAUUUUUUGUUUCAUGGGUCAUCGAUGAGUGGAUGAAUUUUCUGCAGGAGUUAUUUGGAAAGGUGAUAAAUUGAUAGAUGGAGUCCCUCAGACUCUUGAUAUGCUUCGUUCAAGGGUUUGUUUGCUUUGGUUUUUCUUUGUUUAGUUUUAAUUUACUUUUGUUCAGAUGAAGGUCAGAAGAUGGGAUCCCAAAAAGGAAAAUUACUUGUUCAUUGAUAAAAUUUUCAAAUGUUUCACUUUUCUCUGUGCAGGGCAAGCGAUUAGUUUUUGUUACCAACAACUCCACAAAGUCUAGGAAACAAUAUGGUAAGAAGUUUGAGACACUUGGUCUGAACGUCAGUGAGGUUAGUUCUAAGUGAUCCCUCUUUUUCUCACCUGGUGUUUGUAUUUUUAGAGCCUGUUUGGUUUAAAAGUUGAAUGCAGCUGCUAGCUGAUAAUAGCUUAUCUAUGUUAAUAAGUGUUUGGUAAAACUAUAUUU
rnacentral:misc_RNA from 1 species